AACACACAGUUUGUGCACUUCCCUGAAUCCUCUCCUGUCAAUUCCCUCCAUUCAUUAGAGGGAGCAAAAAUGAUCCUGUGGCUAAACUUGAUGUCCUUCUUAACAGUUCUGAGAGGUGUCCAGUCAGAGGUCCAGCUGGUGGAGUCUGGAGGGGAUGUGAGAAGACCUGGAGGUUCCCUCCGUCUCUCCUGCCAAGGCUCUGGAUUCACCUUCAGCAGCUAUCCCAUGAACUGGGUGAGGCAGUAUCCUGGAAAAGGACUGGAAUGGGUUGCCUACAUAGGUACAUCCUCAACUCCAAUUCUCUACUCGGAUAAAGUCAAGGGACGGUUCACCAUCUCCAGGGAUGAUUCCCGCAGCCAGCUGAAUCUGCAGAUGGACACCCUGAAAGCAGAAGACACGGGAGUCUAUUACUGUGCGAGAGACACA